UCGAGGAUCAUUCGCAAUGGGGGAAACCCUGACGAUGCGACGCUGCGUGGAGGAUGAAGGCCCUCGGGUUGUAAACUCCUGUCAUGGGGGAAGAGGCGAGGGGCGCUAACACCGCCCCGAGUUGACGGUACCCCAAGAGGAAGCCACGGCUAACUCUGUGCCAGCAGCCGCGGUAAUACAGAGGUGGCGAGCGUUGUUCGGAUUUACUGGGCGUAAAGGGCGCGUAGGCGGCAAGGUAUGUGUGAUGUGAAAUCUCCGGGCUCAACCCGGAAAGUGCGUCGCAAACUGCCAUGCUCGAGUGUGGGAGGGGGGAUCGGAAUGCAGGGUGUAGCGGUGAAAUGCGUUGAUAUCCUGCAGAACACCGGUGGCGAAGGCGGAUCCCUGGGACACUACUGACGCUGAGGCGCGAAAGCAGGGGGAGCAAACA
rnacentral:rRNA from 1 species